rnacentral:lncRNA from 1 species
GCUAGAGGAGGGAGACCAGGCUAGAGGAGGGAGACCAGGCUAGAGGAGGGAGACCAGGCUAGGGGAGGAAGACCAGGCUAGAGGAGGGAGACCAGGCUAGAGGAGGGAGACCAGGCUAGAGGAGGAUGGCCAGGCUAGAGGAGGGAUACCAGGCUAGAGGAGGGAGACCAGGCUAGAGGAGGGAGACCAGGCUAGAGGAGGGAGACCAGGCUAGAGGAGGGAGACCAGCCUAGAGGAGGAAGACCAGGCUAGAGGAGGAAGGCCAGGCUAGAGGAGGAAGGCCAGGCUAGAGGAGGGAGACCAGGCUAGAGGAGGGAGACCAGGCUAGGGGAGGAAGACCAGGCUAGAGGAGGGAGACCAGGCUAGAGGAGGAAGACCAGGCUAGAGGAGGAAGACCAGGCUAGAGGAGGGAGACCAGGCUAGAGGAGGGAGACCAGGCUAGGGGAGGAAGACCAGGCUAGAGGAGGAAGGCCAGGCUAGAGGAGGAAGACCAGGGUAGGGGAGGAAGACCAGGCUAGAGGAGGAAGGCCAGGCUAGAGGAGGAAGACCAGGCUAGGGGAGGAAGACCAGGCUAGGGGAGGGAGACCAGGCUAGAGGAGGGAGACCAGGCUAGAGGAGGGAGACCAGGCUAGAGGAGGAAGACCAGGCUAGAGGAGGAAGGCCAGGCUAGAGGAGGAAGACCAGGCUAGGGGAGGAAGACCAGGCUAGAGGAGGAAGGCCAGGCUAGAGGAGGAAGACCAGGCUAGAGGAGGGAGACCAGGCUAGAGGAGGGAGACCAGGCUAGAGGAGGAAGACCAGGCUAGAGGAGGAAGGCCAGGCUAGAGGAGGAAGGCCAGGCUAGAGGAGGAAGACCAGGCUAGAGGAGGAAGACCAGGCUAGGGGAGGGAGACCAGGCGAGAGGAGGGGGCACAUGAAGGAAACCCAGCUCCUGUCUUCUGCCAACAGAAACAACCAGAGGUUUAACAUGCACAGUGCAGCUUCUCUAGUAACCAC